ACGAACGCUGGCGGCGUGCUUAACACAUGCAAGUCGAACGGAAAGGCCCUGCUUUUGUGGGGUGCUCGAGUGGCGAACGGGUGAGUAACACGUGAGUAACCUGCCCUUGACUUUGGGAUAACUUCAGGAAACUGGGGCUAAUACCGGAUAGGAGCUCCUGCUGCAUGGUGGGGGUUGGAAAGUUUCGGCGGUUGGGGAUGGACUCGCGGCUUAUCAGCUUGUUGGUGGGGUAGUGGCUUACCAAGGCUUUGACGGAUAGCCGGCCUGAGAGGGUGACCGGCCACAUUGGGACUGAGAUACGGCCCAGACUCCUACGGGAGGCAGCAGUGGGGAAUAUUGCACAAUGGGCGGAAGCCUGAUGCAGCAACGCCGCGUGCGGGAUGACGGCCUUCGGGUUGUAAACCGCUUUCGCCUGUGACGAAGCGUGAGUGACGGUAAUGGGUAAAGAAGCACCGGCUAACUACGUG
rnacentral:rRNA from 1 species